rnacentral:sRNA from 1 species
UAGUUCUUUUCUUCGCCCGCUAGGAGG